GACGAACGCUGGCGGCGUGCUUAACACAUGCCAGUCGAACGGUGAAGCGCCUUCCUUUUUGGUGGGUGUUGAUGAGUGGCGAACGGGUUAGUAACACGUGAGUAACCUUCUCCCUUCUUCUUGAUAACCGCAUGAAAGUGUUGCUACUACGUGAUAUUCUGGGUCUGUCGCUUGAUUGGUCUGAGAAAGAUUUUGUUUCGGUUGUGGAUGGGCUCGCGGCCUAUCAGCUUGUUGGUGGGGUGAUGGCCUACCAAGGCGGUGACGGGUAGCCGGCCUGAGAGGGUGGACGAUCAUGGUGGGAAGGAGAGGCGGCGAAGACUACGAGGGGAGGCAGCAGUGGGGAAUAGGGAACGAUGGGCGGAAGGAUGAUGCAGCGACGCGGCGGGAGGGAUGGAGGCCGUAGGGUUGUGAACCUCUAUCGGGAGAGAAGAAGGGUGGCAGCGUUUGUGGGUGGGUUGACGGUAGCUGGACAAGAAGCGCCGGCUAACUACGUG
rnacentral:rRNA from 1 species